rnacentral:rRNA from 1 species
CUGGAAGUAAAAAAUCGUAACAAGGUUUCCGUAGGUGAACCUGCGGAAGGAUCAUUACCGAGUUUUCGAGCUUCGGCUCGACUCUCCCACCCUUUGUGAACGUACCUCUGUUGCUUUGGCGGCUUCGGCCGCCAAAGGACCUUCAAACUCCAGUCAGUAAACGCAGACGUCUGAUAAACAAGUUAAUAAACUAAAACUUUCAACAACGGAUCUCUUGGUUCUGGCAUCGAUGAAGAACGCAGCGAAAUGCGAUAAGUAAUGUGAAUUGCAGAAUUCAGUGAAUCAUCGAAUCUUUGAACGCACAUUGCGCCCCUUGGUAUUCCGGGGGGCAUGCCUGUUCGAGCGUCAUUACAACCCUCAAGCUCUGCUUGGAAUUGGGCACCGUCCUCACUGCGGACGCGCCUCAAAGACCUCGGCGGUGGCUGUUCAGCCCUCAAGCGUAGUAGAAUACACCUCGCUUUGGAGCGGUUGGCGUCGCCCGCCGGACGAACCUUCUGAACUUUUCUCAAGGUGACCUCGGAUCAGGUAGGGACCCCCAGCCC